AUCAUGACCUGAGCCAAGUCAGACGCUUAACUGACUGAGCCACCCAGGUUCCUCUCCCUUGGGCUUAUGUCCCGAGAAGCCUCUGAACCCAAUUAGCCUUGCUUUCCUUCACCUUUGCUUCUUCAGGACUUUUCAGAAUUUCUCAAGCAUUAAGGUGCAUAUUGGAUGUACUUGCUGACCCGUUUGUGGUUGUAGAGACCAUGUUACAAGUGCUGGCCGGAAUGAUGAUAAGAGAAGUCUCUGAAUGACUGAUGAACAGAAGCCCUCUGCCCCACUGAUAGACCUGUCACAUAAACAUUAAAAACAAAGGCAGCUGGUGGAAGCCAUUGGACUGCAGGACCUGCUACUUGAAGCACAACACCACAGGAGGCUUUUUUUCUGUCUCUGACAAUCAGGAUUAGUGCAAAAAGAGGUUUGAUAAGACUAAACAGUCCAAAGAUUUGACAGUCCUGACACCUGGCAUAUGAAAGAUGGAAUUCCUGAAUGGAAAUUAUUCUUAUUGAACUUCUCUGAAGAGUUUGGCUGGAAAGAAGUAUCUUUUCCAACGCCAGUACAUUCUCGGCGCUCCUUCAACUGGCUGAAAAAUGAGCUUUACGGUCAGGGUGGGUCUCUUGGAAAGAUGCCUGCUGAAAUGGUGAUUACUUAUUUUUCCUGAUGUUUUCUUGGCACACGGAACAACUUUGAAAACCAACUGAUGAAUAUAAUUAGGUGUAUAUUGAAGAGACCCAUUCUGCCAUUCAGCAGUGGCUCCUUUCAGGAGGCAGUAAGAUGAAUACGGACAGCUCUACCCUUACGCACUCUCGAUUCCUGAGGAAAAGAACAUGCUCUUCCUAUUGUCUAUGUCAGAAUUUCUGGAUUCUGAUUAGCCUGAUUUGUCUUGCACCAAUCCCGUUCCCAGGGCAUGAAAUACUUGGAUUGUCCAAGCCAGGGUCACGUUCCCAACCUGGAGGCCAGGUUCCAGAUUACUGGGUUAUUAAAAAAGGAUAAAAAAAAAAAAACCCAGUGAAGAAUUAUACAGGGCCAGGUCCCCAACAAAGGAGCUUCUGUCCACACGGAGUUUGGGGCCUGGCCAGUGGCACAUGGCAGCGUUCUGGUUUGCCAACCUGGAAACUCCCAAAUCCCAUACUACUGGGAUUUUUAUGGAGGUCUUCUCAGAUUCUUGCUGCUCAUUCAGUGUGGACCCAGUCUCCUGAUGACAAUGAUGGCCCACGGAUGUAAACUCACCUGUCAGCAGUAUUUUCAUGACCAUUUUGUAAAAUUAGAGCACUGUCCAGAAUAAUAAAUGAAAUUCAGGGAAAUGGGAAAACCAAAACCUGACAUGAUCCAUCCAGAAUGUACUUCCUGCCUUUUGAACACCAAGUAAAUUUUCUUUGGAGACUCUUCUUAAGUGUCCAUCUCAAUUAAACCUUCAUGGCCCUCCUUCAAGACAGAGUUAGAGACGCGUCCCUCUGUACUCUCAUUUGAGCACUGAGCCAAUUACAAAGCAGGAGCUGUUAUCUCGAUCCACUACUCAUGUGCUAUGAAGAGUUCUCAUUGGCCUUUGCUUGUUAAGAACCAACUCAUUCUGAUAGGUGCCUAUGGAAACAGGGAGCUGCUGUUGCCUGUUGGGACCUCGUUUGAUAAUGUUCAGCUGUGAACGCUCAACAUUUAACCUGCUGGAAGUCUCAAUAAAUGUAUAUUAACUGUUGACUGACUAUACUAAAUGAAUAAAUGAAGUUUGUUCGUGUAUCAACAGUGCUGUGUUUUCUUCCGUGUCACAGCCACCAGCAGUUUGGAGAACGGGGAAGGCUGAACUGUAUUAAUAUCAACAAACGUGGUUUGCCCCUGAUUAUACUUGUGACCUUGUGCAGGGGACUUCCCUCUCUAGACCCUGCUUUUCUCCUCUGUAGAGUGAGGGAAUUAAACCAGGUAAUCUCCAGAGUCCCUUCCUACUAUUCCAUCCAGUGAUUUGUGUGUGAUGUAGCACGUGUUCUGAUAUUUCUUACAAUAUUCGGGGCCAGCCGACUAACCACUCACUCCUUAAAGACUACACGAGCUGAGAGUUUAAUAGGUAAGUAGAAAAGAAUGCAAAAGUAAGGGUUUUCUCCUAUUCACAGCCUGAGCGGCUUUUUAGUUUAUAUUUCCCGUGGCUAAGAGAGUAAAGAGUGGAACUAAGAGCAUCAGAAAAUAUUUUUUGUGAGCACAGGACAAUAUUUUAUUUAGAUCGGUUAAUGGGAUAAUGGUUGGUUUUAUUCACAGGAAGGAAUAUGCUUUUCAUAUUCAUAAGGUAUUAGUGACUCCAGACCCAUUUAAUUUCUACACAUCUGUUAAGUACAGAAAAAGGAAACCUAAUGAUCUAACAGAAAAACACACUUAAGGCUAACAUUUGGUUCCCAGACCUAUCAUUCUCUUUGCCAAAAUGAAGUUACUGAAGCUUUCAUAGUAAUUGUUGUGACUGAGCAGAGCAAAGGGACUCAUGUACAUUCAUGCUGGUAUGUAUACACAUGUAUUUGCACCUCACAAGCCCAUAUUAGAACUUGCUAUUUAUUUCCUGAAUGAAGCUUAAAUUAAAUAGUGAUACUCGGCAUUGUUGCUGAGAAAUGGAUUCACAAUGUGUUCUUGUUUAAAACAGAGACAAUGAGUAGACAGCGACACAAGCACAUUAAAUUACUCUGCCCCAAUUUAUUUUUUAGAGCAGUUCUUGCUGAAAGGUCUUUCAGGAAGACAAGAACAUUCAGGAAGUAACCCUUAGUCUCUGUGGACGAAUGUGUUUAUUGACAGCAUGCUUGGUGAGAGGUGUACAGACUCUGGUCUUAAAGCCCCUGUUCCAGCUUUAUUUCCUUCUUGGUGAAGCUUCCUCAGUUUCCUCAUCUGGAACAUAGGGUUCAUAUAGUAUGGCUGUGAGGAUCAGAUGGGAAAACAAUGUGGCUGCAGAAAGAAACAGUGGAAAAGAGCACAGAGAGGUCACUGUUAAGUCGAAACCAAAAACAGUUACUCCGUUACUGUUUUUAUUUUUCACAAAUUGCAUAAUCGCCUUGGCUGUCAGUAGCAAAUGUGAAAAUUACCUUGUCAUAGAGGCUCACAGUGUUCCUUUCUCCACACUAUAACAUAAUUGUCAUUAUAAUUUUACCACCACCAACAGCCAGGGUAGCUGUCCCUAUCCUCACCUCCGUGACACCUCCGUGUGACAGCAUACACCUGUGUGGCUUAUGCAUGAAAUUAGCUACACAAAUUGUGGAAUACAUGUACAGCUUAACUUGUUUUGCAAUAAUCUAAACAUUGCAAAUGUUAAGUGAAAAUCAAACCAAAGAUGAAAUAUGGGUGCCAUUUUUUGGUGACAUGUAUCACAUUUCUGAUUAGUCUUCCAAUUUUAACAUCUCUACUUCUGACUUAGUAAAAACUUGGUAACGUGUGCAUUGUAGGAGAAAGUGGUCAUUCGCUCCCAUCCACCUUUGUACUACUGCUCCACGAUGAUGCUACCUAGCCAGGAUAAACCCACCGUGGGAUGACAAAAGCAAUAUGGACCACCAAGAAAGGAAAUCACCAUAUUCCAGACUCUUUGCUGGUACCCUUUACCAGACAUACACCAUCAGCAGCCAGUUCUGUGAAUCUCGCGGUUGGUGAAUCCUGCUGGUGAGGCUCCCCGCCUCCUCUGCCUAGAUUCCUUGGUAUCAAAAGCGCCUUCUGCGGCUUUACCUGUUGAACUUCUCUGAAGAAAAAAGUUCUUCCUCAUACCAUUGACACGUUUGUGGUUCCAGAGAAACGAAAUCUAAGCAUACAGCAAUGUAAGAAUCCAAAGUGGUAGAAGAUAAAUACCAGAGACAAAAUGGAUCCCAGGACCUCCUAUCUGGACUGUAGCAUUAUUUUGUGUAUUCCUUUAUUUGAAGAAGGGAAAUCUGCCUUCAUGAAGAAAAUGUACUGGUCGCAAAGAGUUGGACUGUUUUGAUCUUGCACGGCAAAGUUCUCACUACAAAUUCAUUAACUGAGUGGAUUCCUAAGUGGCUUGAGUACAGUGAAUUUUUCAUCCUAUGUACAAAAAAAAAAAAAUUGCAACAGAAAGCAAUACAGCCAAGUAUUGAGGAAUGAGGGAAUUUGGUGAUUGGCCACUAGUGACUGGCAAACUGGGACAGCAGGAUCUUGAGUUUCCAACAGUGAGUCUCAUAGUUCAGACAUUCAGAGCCACACUAAACCUUCAGAUCUGUAUGCUGACUGAGAAAGUACAGAUGUGAUUGGAGCAUCAUUAUCCUAACUGCCAGCAGAAUUCUGAUAAGGUAUUGCUAGGCCAAUCAUUUGCCUCCCUGUCUUCUUGAUUUAAUUCAUUAUUCUUCGAUCGAUAGCAAAAUACAGCGAAAGAAACUUAUUUAUUAUUUCCUAUCUAAUAACCUCACCCAUUUCUACAAAGAACUGGAAAUUUGUAUUAAAUUACUGCUCUCUGUUUAGAACAAUUAAAGCCAACAUAAAAUUUCUCAGGACCUAGAAUGGGGUGUCAUCCUUUUGAUGCAGGUGUUACUCCAAAAUUCUUAGUCAAUCAUUUGAUAAUGACACUUUAGUCUUAUUUUUUUUAUCAGCUGUCAUUUAAUCAUUUUCUAAUCUAUAUUUUGUUCUCACUAUUACUGAAUGUUUCCUUUUACUUUCCAUCUAAACUUCUCUGAAGAAUGGUCAACUAUCCUCAUUUACCAUUCACUCUUAACUUUCUGUAGAUUUUUCUUCACCUAGCAGCUCAGCUGACAUUGUUCCCAUUUACAGUACCAUCUUCCUCAUUGUCUGUCCCAGUGGUAAUCUGUUGCACUGAGCAUAUUAUAGUAUUCACUCCUUCUUCAAAUGACAUUUCUUGGAAUGACUCUUGGAUAUCUAUAUUCCUCACUCCCUUUUUCUUACCUUUCUCCUUUGGAUACCUGUUUUCUUCCACCAACCUUAAAUUUUGAAGUUCCCCAGGAUUUUAUUAUCUUUUCACUAAUUUCUCUACUAUGUCCUUUCUCUGGUUGAUAAUUUUCAUUCACACACACACACACACACACACACACACACACCAGCCAGAAUUCCUCUGGUAAGGAACAGCAACAAUCUUUUUAUCCAGCUGCAUCCUGCACAUAUCCAUUUGGCUUUCACAUAAAUAACUCAAGCUCAACAUGUGCAAAGUUGAACUUUCCCACUGACGUUUCUACUCUCAGUGUUCACUAACUCUUAUGGUUGUACCACCAGUUUUAGAAACAAGAGUUUCUAGUACUUGCACAUUCUCUCCCCAUCCUCCUACUUCCAAUCAAUCUUAUAGUCUUGACAUUUUUAUAUCUGAAGUAUUUAUUCAGUGUCUUCAUUUCUCCCCCAUCCCAACCACAACUUUCCUAGAUUGACUUAAAUCAUAUUUUUCUUAGAUGGCUAAAACUACCUCCAAUAUGGUUUUCUGCCUCCAAUAUAUUUUUUUAAUUCAUCCCCUCUCUUGUAGUCAGCAUAAUCUAAAACUAAAAAAACCUGAUCCUAAUAUACCCUAUUUAAUAGCCAUUAAUGUAUCUGUGGAGCUUAUGGUCAAACAAGGUACAAGCACCUACAUAUAUAGCAUAUUUAAGUACUUAAAAUUUGGAGCUUGGUUUAAUUUCUGUGUAAGAGAAAAACUAAAAAUGAUAUUAAAGUGGCUUCUAUAAGGGAGAGUUGUAUUUCUAUCUCACAUAAAAGAAGUCUUAAGGUAGGACAGAUCCAGGCUGAUACAGAAGUUUCACAAUGUCCUCAAGGACCAAGGAUCCUUUUUUUCUUGCCCUGCCAUGUUUAACACAAAAUUGCCAUUCUCAAGAUCACUUUAUGAUUCAAGAUGAUUGCUGGAACCAUACUACCUGUUCUAGGCAGCAGAAAGAGAAGAUAGAAAGUGGAGAACAAAAAGCAUCUCAAACAACUUCUAAGGAUUUUUUUCUUCAAAGUGACACACAAUAGUAAUAGGGGAAAAAAUGAGUAUUUUAUAAGAUGGGCUCCAAAUAGAGAGUUAUUCUUAUUUUCUUAUUUAUUAUUUUAUAUUAUUUAUAUUCUAUUAUCUUAUUAUGUUUUAU